UGAACUGCAUUUCUAAUGACCUUGUAGUUUGACGUUUCCUUUUUUCUAUUCUUCCCUUUUGUGUUUUCUAGUGUAGUUUGAUAAGAAUGUCUAUUACAAUUUUGUUUUGAUAAAAAUUGCAUUUAUUCUUUGUGUGUGCUUAAAAUUGCCAAAGAUGAAUUAGAAUAUCUAGUAGGACUUAGGAAGAAUGAACAUUUUGACGUCAAAGAAGGUGUACAUUAUGUCUUAACGCUUCUCGUAUUAAUAGGGAAGGAGAGCCGAAACAAUUCUGAAUAGAACGACGUUAUCUUCAAUGAGAACCAAGGUACCUGGUUCAGUGCCACGAAACUCAAUGUAAUGUAAGUGUUAACGCUGGAAUACAGGAAAGAUAUGCGUGUAAGUAGGAUGUGAUUUACAAAAUCCAGCUGAAUUGCUAAAACCGCUUUAAUCAAUGAUCAUAUGAGUGCAAAUGUUCAACAAUGGCUAAAACCAAAUUUAAUUAUAAUUGAGAGCACAAUAACAUUUGUAGCUUUUUACAUGUGCAAAAAUAUUAUCAAACAGCAAUGUGACAAAGUGUAGAAAAAUAACUUACCUAUACCCACAAACAGCAACAAUAAUUACAACAAACAUACUAAG